rnacentral:rRNA from 1 species
AUGUUUUCCUCGCAGUCGCUGUCUAGGGUAAACAACAUCCGCAUCGCGCUCUCUCAUGCUCAGAAGGGAACGCAGUCCGUGGCGACGUACUUCGCAUAUAUGCGGUCGCUCGCGGACGAACUUGCUGCUGCGGGCAAGCCUCUUCAAGACGGCGAGCUAGUCUCCUACAUCCGCGCCGGCCUCGACAUGGAGUACCUGCCCCUCGUCUCCGCCCUCGACGCGCGCACACAGCCGGUCACCAUCGACGAGCUCUUCUCCCAGAUGAGCAACUUCGACCAGCGUGUUGUGCUCUUCCAGGGGAACGGCGGCUUCAAGUCGUCGGCCAAUGCUGCCACUCGCGGCCGUGGUGGUGGCGGCGGCGGCGGAUCACGCUACCGCGGCCCACCGCGGAAGGGAAAAACCAGCAACGGCGGCAACUUCAACAGCAACCCCCGCGGCCCCGGCAACAACAACGGCAGUGGGCGGCCCUCCUACACCAACUCCAAGGGCCGUCGCAACUCCCCCAAGUCACGCCCUGACACCAUUCGGUGUCAAAUCUGUUGA